GUCUACACCGAAGAAUUUGCCAGAAGUGGCUCCCCUAUUUGCAUAGAAAUUGACAGUUCCAGGCCCGCUGAUAUGUUAUCUGAUUUAGCACCAAAGAACAAGGGCAGAUAGUGAGAGACAUAGUCCUGUAGUGCUGUCACGGGUCUUGCUCAGAACCUUCACACAGCUGCCCAGGUCAAUGAGAUGCAGCCUGCUCCUGCCUCCCGACACUAAACAAAAAAUGGUAUCAGUAGGAAAUAUCAAUUUUAAAUUUCAACAUUCCCAAUACAAAUAAACUGAAGAAGAACAAGGAGCCCUACAGCAGAUGGUGUGACCCCCACAGAGGCCGGACCUCAACAUCAUUGACUCUGUCUGGGAUUAAAUGAAGAGACAGAAGCAAUUGAGACAGCCUAAAUAGAUAGAAGAACUGUGGCAAGUUCUGCAAGAAGCUUGGAACAUCCUAUCUGUCAACAACCAAGAAAAAUGGUGUCCAGGUGUACCUAGAAGGAUUGGUGCUGUUUUGAAGGCUAAGGUUGUCCAGCCAUAUAUUGAUUUAGCCUUUUUUAUGUUUACUGGAAUUUGAAUGUCAUUAAUUGAUAAAUGAAAACUUUUUAUGGCAUUCAUUUUGAAGAAAUCCUGCAACAUUUUUCACAAGUGCCUAAAACUUCUGCACAGUACUAUAUAUACAGUAUACUGUAUAUACUGUAUAUGGUACUGAACGAUUACCAUAUUCAAGGACCAUGGUAUUUACAUAUGUAAAACAAGGAACUUCAAAAAAUACCAUGGUACCAUGUCCAAAACAUGGAAACAACAUGACACUUUUUGGUACUUUUUUCUAACAUCUAAAGCCAGACAAGUAGUAGACAAUAAAGAUAACUUUUUGGUCAAACUCUUACAUUAAUGAGCCUACAUUUUAAAUGGUAACAUUAUUUUCUAUGUGAUUCUAUGAUGUA